CAAUAUAUAUAAAACGUCAAUGUUCUCGUUCUCCAAUUAAGAGCUUGUUGGUUAUUAGAAUAAAAAAGAGUAGAAGAGGAGACGCUAAUCUUGUGCUAUGAAAGGUUCUAUGAUAAGAGGGCCCCAAGACAUAUAUAAAAAAUGAGAUGGAAGGGAGUGCGAUUAAUGAUAGAAAGAUCCAGCCUUUGCUAUCGAUACAUUUGACUUCUCUAGAAUAAGAAC
rnacentral:lncRNA from 1 species